rnacentral:lncRNA from 1 species
UCAAUUUCAAAUUUGCCUUAUAUCCCUUGCUAAUUUUUCUGAUUGGAAAAUGUCCAAUUCUGUAUCGUCACUUGACACAGAUACAUGUAUGUGUUGUUAUCAGUAAUGGCAGUUUUGUGGAGAUUGGUUAUUUAUCACAGGCCAACAUUCCACUCCAGCAUGUGAACUCCGGCAGCCAUUUUUCCCGACACACAUGGGCACCAUGAAACUGCGUAAUUUUCAUCGUCCUCCCCUCAAGAAGUAUUCUCAUGGACCCAUGUCUCAGCACGGACCACAGGCCUUACUGCCUCUACUGAAAACUAUAAGAAGGAAGGCAAAGAUGAGUUAUAAUUGACGGUUUCAAAAUGAGAGAACAUGAGUGACUGGCCUCUGGAGGAGGCGAGAUGUUUCUCAUGAGAACCCCCCAAGAUCUCACAGGGAUGGGUGGAGAACUGAUUUUGGCAGAGUACUCGGAGGAAUUCCCACCUAUCCUCAUGCAAGUUGACAUGGCAACCAAGAUAAAGAAUUACUACAAAAGGACGCAUACUCAGAUCUGAAAAGAGAUUCACAGAUUGAAAAGAAACGGACAAGCGUGGACCAGAGUCCUUCUGUUUUUUCUCGAUGGGAUGCCAUGGAACUCGGGGAUGUGUCUGUUUUUGGGAAACACAGGCAGAAGAAAAGAUUUCUUACCAUUGGUAUUCCGUCUGUCAAAUGAGCAAAGGGGACCGUGUAUCUGUUGCAGACGAUUUCUUACAUAAUAAACGUGACGUCACCAAGUGAGAGGGAGAAAAUUGUUUUAUUGGUGUUCCUGGCAAAUUUUGAUACACAAUAUAAUGAAAAUGUCUUGAAAAGUAUCAGCGCAAAAUUUGAUGAUUACGUCAAGAGUGGAUUUAUUCUAGUGAUGCAAGUUCCAGAAAAAAUUACCCUCCGUUAGAAAAUUUGAAGAGGAAUUAUAAUGAUUCUCCGGAGAAAGUAAAAUGGCGAUCGAAACAGAAUGUUGAUUAUGCUUUUAUGUUUCUGUACGGAAGAAAUAUUUCAGAAUACUAUAUUCAGAUUGAAGACGAUGUGAUUCCAGCCCGUGGAUUCACCAAAGACAUACGUGCUUUUAUCAUAGAAAAUAGCAAAAAGCCAUGGAUAUGUUUAGAAUUUUCUAUUCUUGGAUUUAUUGGGAAACUGUUCAAGUCCAAAGACCUGGAAAAAUUUGCAAGGUACUUGAUUUUAUUUUACGACGAGCAACCUUGUGAUUGUCUUAUCGAUCAUUUCCUAACUUCGAUGACUCAGAAAAAGCGCAUCUUCCACAAACAGUCUUUAUUCCAGCAUCAGGGGGACUGGUCUUCUUCGGAAGAGAAGUCCAGGAAAGGACCUAAUAUGUCGCGGGACAUUUACUUCAAAGAUAAACAAGGAAAAACCACUCAAGGGACGCCAAAAGGAAAGUCGUGACUUGCAAUUACACUUCUGUAGCUUAAUACAAGGAGCAAAAACGUUCUUCCAAAAUAUUUUUAAGUAAGCUUUUUUUUUUUUACUUUUCAAGAUAAGAAGGAUAGAGGUUGUAUUUCGUGGUACGAGUACGGGCACUACAUGAACUUUUUUCAAGUAUGCAUAUCAUUCACUCUACUUAUUUUGUGUACUGUCAUAUUGACAUAUCUGGAUAUAGAUCGUCAGAGGACUAGUCAGCGCGUUAAACAAUCAACUUAAAAUCAAAGAUAUCUUAAAUAGUAAAACAAUUACUUGGAGACAAAA